GUGGGUUUCUUUCCAUUAAUUUUGUCAUCUGACUAUGUGUAAUACAUUUCAUACUCAGUCAUUCUAUAAUCUGAUUUUUUUUAAAAUAUUAUCAUUAUUACAUCAUACCUCUCCUGUUAUGUUCAUCGUCUUGCUCUUACGACACUUCCACUCUUUAGGCUCACUGGGUAUUGCUCUGUUCUUUCCUGUUCCUCUCUCAUUUUCAAUUUGAUUUUGUUCUUUGAGUUCUUCUUGGUCUGAUUGGUGUUACUUUCCAAGCUCAAGCAUGUUGGAUCCAUCUCCAGGAGCAUAGAGCAUAACUUCUUGGCCUUUAACUUAGUUUUUUUUAAUGCUCCAUCUAUGCCGACAUAACUAAACAGGGAAUUCAAGGCAACAGAACAAGACGGCAAAGCUCAGGAUUGUUCAUGGCAAUGCAUUUUAAUGAUUGAUGUGACCCAUAUAUGGAUGCGCUCUUUAUAUCCUAGCUACUAGUUUCAGUGAUUGGUGUUUUUUGUUCUUCUUCUUCUUCAUCUUCUGUUUUUGGGCCCUUGUUCUGUGAAGUCUCUUUAAGUAUGUUUAAUUUUGUCUGACCUGAUCCUGAGUGUUCUUAAUCUUAAUGAUUUGAUUGCAUGUGUAAGCUCUUGGAUGCCGUUGUUGUUCCCAGUUGGUGCAACAGAGUUUGAAUCUUUUUUACGUCUGUUGACCAACCAUAGAUUCCUUUACCAUUUUUUUCCAGAUAGAUUCUCAUAUUUUCUAUACGAUUUGUCUCUCCCGUUAUUCUUAUUGAGGAUGAGAAGAAAAUUAUGAUUCUCCUUGACAUUCUACAUCUAACUUGAUCGUUUCAGGUUCCUCAUUUGGAUCAGCGGAACAAAACUGAGAUGAAGUUCCUCUAGCGAAUACAAAUGAAGAUCAGAGUGGACAUUGUGCUCGUGUAUCUCUUCGGCCUGAUCUUGAUUCAGCAAUGUCUCGGUGAUGAUGUUUCUGGCAUAGGGUUGAGCAAUUGGACGUGCACUUGCUUUGCCUCGCACAAUCAAAGCGAUGUCUUGGCAUCUAACUGUUCCACGUCAUGUGAUUGCAGACCAGAUAACCUCGAAUGGACAUGUUUAUGUCCCGCAAAUGGGUUUCCGAGAGUAACCACUGACAGUUCCAACUCUUCGUGCUUCACGGCCUGCAAGUGCUCUGCUGGUCCUAUCGGCGAGACAAAAUCUUCAAAGAAGCAAUCUUUUCCAAGGAAUACACAAAAUAAAGUGACAAAAAUCAUUUAAACCAUAAAUUGAUGAAUUAAGAUAGGCCAUAAAACUUGGGCUAUUUUAUCAAUUCGAAAACAGUAUGGGCUUCUGAAACUCGAGAAACAGAUGCCAACCCAAUGAAACAGUUGUCGGAAUCA